AAAUCUAAACCUAAGCGGCUAAGCCUGACGUCAUUUAACAAAAAGAGUAAACAUGAGCGCCGUCAAGCUCUGCAACUACGAUCUGUAACUCCAUCUUAACACAAAAGUUGAGAUAGGUUCUUAGAUCAGGUUCCGCUGUUAAAUCGAGUCAUGGUCUUGUCUCAUAGAAAGGUACUUUCUUUUACUUCUCUUGAGUAGCUUCUAUAGCUAGAUUGAGAUUGAGGUUUUGAGAUAUUAGGUUCGAUGUCCCGGUCUAUUUGUCACCAGCCAUGUGUCAGUUUCGACCAGUCCCGUGCUCUCUGUAUUUGGUUUUAUCGGAAUACGGAGAUCUAUUUUCAGGAGGAGACAACUUUGUUUUCUUGUGAUUUUUCUCAACAAGCGAAUGAGUCAUUCAUCGGUAUCUAACCAUUCACCAUAUUAUCAGAGUAGUUAUGAUUGAUAGGAUGGUAGAAGAAUAUUCUAAGUCCAACAUAGCAUAUUCUAAGUCCAACAUAGCGUAAAAAAUUGGGAGAUAUCCGGAAUGAUAUUAUACGUAAAAAAAAAUGGGAGAUGUCCGGAAUGAUAUUUGUAAUAUUUUUAUGUUAACGAAACAUAUUUUAGGAUAUGCAAAAAAAAGUAGAUGUUGGUAUUCUUGUUUUGCAAGAUUUGUAAUGGGAGUUGUGUAGUCUUUUUAUGAUGUGUCAUGAAGUCUACCGCCAAUUACAUACAUCAUUCACUUUGUAAUUAAAUUGUCUUCAAGUUUGUAAUUUUAUUUUUGUUUUAUGUACCAAAAUCUAAAUUCAGUUGUUUACAACUUGAUAACAAAAAAAAAGUUAUACAUUACUUAUGUUUUCACACUC